AGACCGGCGCACGGGUGCGUAACGCGUAUGCAAUCUACCUUUUACAGAGGGAUAGCCCAGAGAAAUUUGGAUUAAUACCUCAUAGUAUAUAGCCCUGGCAUCAGGAUUAUAUUAAAGUCACAACGGUAAAAGAUGAGCAUGCGUCCCAUUAGCUAGUUGGUAAGGUAACGGCUUACCAAGGCUACGAUGGGUAGGGGUCCUGAGAGGGAGAUCCCCCACACUGGUACUGAGACACGGACCAGACUCCUACGGGAGGCAGCAGUGAGGAAUAUUGGACAAUGGGCGCAAGCCUGAUCCAGCCAUGCCGCGUGCAGGAUGACGGUCCUAGGGAUUGUAAACUGCUUUUAUACGAGAAGAAACACUCCUUCGUGAAGGAGCUUGACGGUAUCGUAAGAAUAAGGAUCGGCUAACUCCGUGCCAGCAGCCGCGGUAAUACGGAGGAUCCAAGCGUUAUCCGGAAUCAUUGGGUUUAAAGGGUCCGUAGGCGGUUUAAUAAGUCAGUGGUGAAAGCCCAUCGCUCAACGGUGGAACGGCCAUUGAUACUGUUAGACUUGAAUUAUUAGGAAGUAACUAGAAUAUGUAGUGUAGCGGUGAAAUGCUUAGAGAUUACAUGGAAUACCAAUUGCGAAGGCUGGUUACUACUAUUUGAUUGACGCUGAUG
rnacentral:rRNA from 1 species